rnacentral:rRNA from 1 species
UACGAAGGGGGCGAGCGUUGUUCGGAAUUACUGGGCGUAAAGGGCGCGUAGGCGGCGACUCAAGUUAGAUGUGAAAGUCCUGGGCUUAACCUGGGGACUGCAUUUGAUACUGGGUUGCUUGAAUUCGGGAGAGGAUAGCGGAAUUCCCAGUGUAGAGGUGAAAUUCGUAGAUAUUGGGAAGAACACCAGUGGCGAAGGCGGCUCACUGGCCCGAUACUGACGCUGAGGCACGAAAGCGUGGGGAGCAAACAGG